GACGAACGCUGGCGGCGUGCUUAACACAUGCAAGUCGAACGGAAAGGCCCCUUUGGGGGUACUCGAGUGGCGAACGGGUGAGUAACACGUGAGUAACCUGCCCUUGACUUCGGGAUAACUUCAGGAAACUGGGGCUAAUACCGGAUAGGAAUCCUUGCUGCAUGGUGGGGGUUGGAAAGCUUCGGCGGUUUGGGAUGGACUCGCGGCUUAUCAGCUUGUUGGUGGGGUAGUGGCGUACCAAGGCUUUUACGGGUAGCCGGCCUGAGAGGGCGACCGGCCACAUUGGGACUGAGAUACGGCCCAGACUCCUACGGGAGGCAGCAAUGGGGAAAAUUGCACAAUGGGCGGAAGCCUGAUGCAGCAACGCCGCGUGCGGGAUGACGGCCUUCGGGUUGUAAACCGCUUUCAGCAGGGGCGAAGCUUGUGGUGACGGUACCUGCAGAAGAAGCACCGGCUAACUACGUG
rnacentral:rRNA from 1 species